ensembl:rRNA 5S_rRNA 5S ribosomal RNA
GUCUACGGUCAUACCACCCUGAAUGAGCCCGAUCUCGUCUGAUCUCGGAAGCUAAGCAGGGUCGGGCCUGGUUAGUACUUGGAUGGGAGAAGUAAACCAGUGGAUGGAAGACC